rnacentral:misc_RNA from 1 species
UCUCUGCUUGCGCAGGCAGUCUUCUUAGAGUCCCCACCAUUACAUGUUGGCAACUAAGAAUAAGGGUUGCGCUCGUUGCGGGACUUAACCCAACACCUCACGGCACGAGCUGACGACGGCCAUGCAGCACCUUGCUCCUUGUCCUUGCGGAACGAUCCGUCUCCGGACCAAUCAAGGGCAUUCUAGUCCAGGUAAGGUUCCUCGCGUAUCAUCGAAUUAAACCACAUGCUCCACCGGUUGUGCGGACCCCCGUCAAUUCCUUUGAGUUUCACCGUUGCCGGCGUACUCCCCAGGUGGAUAACUUAUCGCUUGCGCUAAGCCGCUGGCUGUAUAUCGCCAACAGCGAGUUCCCAUCGUUUACAGCGUGGACUAC